AUUUACGUAGUUUAUAAAAAACGAGUUAUUUUCAAUAAUUAAAAAAUUUUACACAAAAUUUGUAAAUU
rnacentral:tRNA from 1 species